AUGUCGAUGCCGGCAGCUCAACUAAGAGAAGAUGGCCGAUAUCCGCCGCACCCUCCGGAGAAGUACCACCGCACGCCUAGCACUCCGAAGUCUCGCGUACCAAGAAACACCUUCAGGAAGGAAUGCGAUGGCGAUGUCGCUGCUGCCCGGACAGGUCCUAGGGUUUCCCCUGGUACGCGGUUGGUAGACGGGAAGGGGUAUCACCGACGCCCUUCAAGAAGGUCCGGCAACACCCACGGGCGCAGCCAUGCCGGUGGCGGAGCCGCCAGGGAUUUCUCCCGCCCCGAAACCAACACCAACAUAGACAAUCGAGAGUGCACCACCUAA
rnacentral:rRNA from 1 species